rnacentral:rRNA from 1 species
UGGGCCCGACGUCGCAUGCUCCCGGCCGCCAUGCGGCCGCGGGAAUUCGAUUCGUAUUACCGCGGCUGCUGGCACGGAGUUAGCCGAGCUUAUUCUCCCGGUACUGUCAUUAUCAUCCCGGGUAAAAGAGCUUUACAACCCUAAGGCCUUCAUCACUCACGCGGCAUUGCUGGAUCAGGCUUGCGCCCAUUGUCCAAUAUUCCCCACUGCUGCCUCCCGUAGGAGUCUGGGCCGUGUCUCAGUCCCAGUGUGGCUGAUCAUCCUCUCAGACCAGCUAAGGAUCGUCGGCUUGGUAGGCCUUUACCCCACCAACUACCUAAUCCUACGCGGGCUCAUCCCUGGCCGAUAAAUCUUUGGACUUACGUCGUCAUCCGGUAUUAGCAGUCAUUUCUAACUGUUAUUCCGAACCAAGGGGCAGAUUCCCACGCGUUACGCACCCGUGCGCCACUAAGGCCGAAGCCUUCGUUCGACUUGCAUGUGUUAGGCAUGCCGCCAGCGUUCGUUCUGAGCCAUGAUCAAACUCUAAUCACUAGUGAAUUCGCGGCCGCCUGCAGGUCGACCAUAUGGGAGAGCUCCCAAC